AUGAUGAGCAAGAAGGACUCAAGGGAGGAGGAGUGUCGGCGUUACAAAGAAGAGCAAAUGAACUCCUUCAUGGAGAUCCAAAGGAGGAGGCUUGAGAUGUACGCGGAGGAGCAAGCCAAGAUGCUAGAGAUCGAGGCCACCAACGCCAAGACCAAGGCGAAAGAAGUGUCUCUUGUGAGCAUGACGACCGGGGUGGAGAUCAUGAAGGUGGAUCUCAACACCGUGUCACCAAGGAAGAGGCCGUGGUUCGAGAAGACGCAGGCCGACAUGGUCAAGUUCGACGACGACUGUGUUAAACAUAGAUAG
rnacentral:rRNA from 1 species